rnacentral:lncRNA from 1 species
UUUCAUGACCUCAGGAACUUUCGGCUGGUUUUUUCUUUCAAGAAGCCUGAACCCUUCAUUCCCGUCUCCAGGGUAGGAAGCAUCUUUGACAACCACACGAGGACACGACAUUGUCAUCUGGUUUUUCAAACAUUAAGGCCUUGUCCUCACUCUCAGGUCAUUUUGCAAUAUGAUAGUCCUCUUUGUCUUCAGACAGGUCUUCCUUUGAGACCCCACACUCUCCAGGGCCCUGCAGGACUGCGCUCGGCCACCUUGGACGAACUUGAGGUGGGCGUGGGAACUUCUUGGGUCACGGUUACGGAGGAGAGGACGGAAAUGGAGAGCUUCCAGCGAGGAGAGUCUGCAGGCUGGAGAGGCAUCAACUAAAGACCCCAGAGAGAUGCCUUCAGCUAGUUGCUGGCCCACUCACUUGCCGGUAGACGUCGCUGGGGGCAGACCCACCACCUGCCCCACCCUCUUCAGUCGCAUGAUCUUGGCCAUCAAUCAGAGUAACCACGUUCCAGAAGGAUACUCCCUUAGUGAUCUCUUCAGUCCAUCCUGUCUCCACACACUCUUCUUUCUAAGCAAAUUGUAUUUCAAUAUGUCUGCUAAAAAUUCUUACAUGGAUUCCCAGUGCCUUCAGGAUAAAGUCCGAGUUUAAGCAUGAACUGGCCCCCAGCUCCCUCUCUGAAUUAGUAUGUCCCCCAUCCCAGUGACUUACCAUGCAAAGUCAUACCUCUGUGUUCCUGUAGCUUUCCUGUGCCUCCUUUUGUCUUGCUCACCCCUUUGCUGACUUACUUCUUCAACACCCAGCACAGGUUGGGUGUUCUCUGACUUUCCCAGGGCUUCCUGGUGGGCACCUUGCCUGUUCCAUAUGCUUUGUCUCCAUCUGACACACCUGACCUUGAUUUAUUUUCCUUCAUCUCCACUGAACCGAGGCAGCAUGGCUGCACAAGCUCCUGUGGACACUCUCUGUCUUCAUUAAGACUAUGCUUAAUUAGUGAAUGAUAGAUUUAUGCACCCCUAUAAUAUUUCAACUUCAUUAAUUUAAAAAAUUCUUUUCAAGAUUGCACGUUGUGUUUUGUUGCAUUGAGCAGCUUCAGCUGCAUGCAACAAAUUCUGGUACAAAUAUUUUCUAAUUUUCCUUGUUACAGCUUCUUGGUCUUCUAUGUGCUCAGUUGUGUCUGACUGUUUGUGGCCCCAUGGACUGUGGCCCACCAGGCUCCUCUGUCCAUAGGAUUUCCUAGGGAAGAAUACUGGAGAGGGUUGCUAUUUCCUCCUCCAGGGGAUCAUCCCAACCCAGGGAUAGGACCCGCAUCUCCUGCAUCUUCUGCAUUGGCAGGCAGAUUCUUUACCACUGUGACACCUGGGAAGCCCAUGGCUUCUUAAAUACACUCAUCAUUUAAAAGUGGACAUUUAAUUUCCAAAUACAUGGGGAUUUUAAAGUAUCUUUGAUAUUAAUUUCUCAUUUAAAUGCUUUCUUCUCUGUAAUCACCCUCUGUGUUUUUUCAUUCUUCUAAUUUUAUUGAGGCUUUUGAUGAUUAAGUCAAAGAUCUCUCCUUGUCACAUUGCACUUGAAAACAUGUGAGUUAUUUUCAAGUAUCUUUUGACGUUGAUUUCUAACAUAACUCCACAGUGAUAGAACAGAUUCUGUAUGAUUUUAAUACCUUUAGCCCAUGAAAUUUUUGCACCUGGUUUUACAUCCCUGGAUAUGUUCCAGUGUCUCCUAGUUUACAGUCUAUGGGAACUUGAAUAGAAUUUGUAUUAUACUGUUUUGUGAAAAUUGUAUAAAUCUUAAUUAUAUUGAAUUGGCUCAUGGUACUUUUCAGGUCUACUGUAUCCUUCUACUUUUCUAUAUUUUCAUUCUGUUAAUUUUUGAGCUUUUUAUAUUGAAACUCCAACUAAAAAUCUUAAUUUAGCUACUUAAAAAUAAUUGUAAUAUAUAGUGAAACUAUAUGUAACUUUGUUCUGUGUUUUCUGAGCCUCCCAGAAAUGUGUUGUCAUACCUUCAUAAUUUUAAAAAAUGACAGUAAAAAAAAUAAUGCUGCAAAAAAUAUCCUUUCUGAGAAUUGUAAGGAAAAAUACUAGAAUAAAGUUACAUCAUAU